rnacentral:rRNA from 1 species
UGCAAGUCGAGCGGGGAGAGGUAGCUUGCUACCUGACCUAGCGGCGGACGGGUGAGUAAUGCUUAGGAAUCUGCCUAUUAGUGGGGGACAACAUUCCGAAAGGAAUGCUAAUACCGCAUACGCCCUACGGGGGAAAGCAGGGGAUCUUCGGACCUUGCGCUAAUAGAUGAGCCUAAGUCAGAUUAGCUAGUUGGUGGGGUAAAGGCCUACCAAGGCGACGAUCUGUAGCGGGUCUGAGAGGAUGAUCCGCCACACUGGGACUGAGACACGGCCCAGACUCCUACGGGAGGCAGCAGUGGGGAAUAUUGGACAAUGGGCGCAAGCCUGAUCCAGCCAUGCCGCGUGUGUGAAGAAGGCCUUUUGGUUGUAAAGCACUUUAAGCGAGGAGGAGGCUACUUGGAUUAAUACUCUAAGAUAGUGGACGUUACUCGCAGAAUAAGCACCGGCUAACUCUGUGCCAGCAGCCGCGGUAAUACAGAGGGUGCGAGCGUUAAUCGGAUUUACUGGGCGUAAAGCGUGCGUAGGCGGCUUCUUAAGUCGGAUGUGAAAUCCCUGAGCUUAACUUAGGAAUUGCAUUCGAUACUGGGAAGCUAGAGUAUGGGAGAGGAUGGUAGAAUUCCAGGUGUAGCGGUGAAAUGCGUAGAGAUCUGGAGGAAUACCGAUGGCGAAGGCAGCCAUCUGGCCUAAUACUGACGCUGAGGUACGAAAGCAUGGGGAGCAAACAGGAUUAGAUACCCUGGUAGUCCAUGCCGUAAACGAUGUCUACUAG